GGAUUUGUCAGUUGGUCGGGCUUCACUGUUCGUAUUGACUUGAUGGAUUCUUAUCUUCUGAAUAACCUUAAAAAAAUUAGUGCUUAAAGCGAGCUAGUGCUUAAAUAGAUUAGUAUGGAAUAAUAAAAUAGGACAGCAUGGUUCUAUUUUGUUGGUUUCUAGGAUCACCGUA
rnacentral:rRNA from 1 species